AGUGAACGCUGGCGGUAGGCCUAACACAUGCAAGUCGAACGGCAGCACAGUAAGAGCUUGCUCUUACGGGUGGCGAGUGGCGGACGGGUGAGGAAUACAUCGGAAUCUACUUUUUCGUGGGGGAUAACGUAGGGAAACUUACGCUAAUACCGCAUACGACCUACGGGUGAAAGCAGGGGAUCUUCGGACCUUGCGCGAUUGAAUGAGCCGAUGUCGGAUUAGCUAGUUGGCGGGGUAAAGGCCCACCAAGGCGACGAUCCGUAGCUGGUCUGAGAGGAUGAUCAGCCACACUGGAACUGAGACACGGUCCAGACUCCUACGGUAGGCAGCAGUGGGGAAUAUUGGACAAUGGGCGCAAGCCUGAUCCAGCCAUACCGCGUGGGUGAAGAAGGCCUUCGGGUUGUAAAGCCCUUUUGUUGGGAAAGAAAGGCAGCAGGUUAAUACCCCGCUGUUCUGACGGUACCCAAAGAAUAAGCACCGGCUAACUUCGUG
rnacentral:rRNA from 1 species